rnacentral:rRNA from 1 species
GUCUAUAUGAAUUUUAUAUAAAGUCUAAUCUGCCCAUUGAAUUAUUAAAAGGCCGCAGUAUUUUGACUGUGCAAAGGUAGCAUAAUCAAUAGUUUUUUAAUUGAAAGCUGGAAUGAAUGAUUGGAUGAGAUAUUAACUGUCUGAUUUAAAUGUAUUUGAAUUUAAUUUUUAAGUUAAAAAGCUUAAAUUUAUUUAAAGGACGAGAAGACCCUUUAAAGUUUUAUAUAAUUAGUUUAUAUCUAUAUAUUAAUAGGAAAAAUUAGUUAAUAUAAAUUAGUAUAUUUUAUUGGGGUGAUAGGAAAAUUUAAUAAACUUUUUUUUUAUAAACAUUAAUUUAUGAAUUAUUGAUCUAUAAAUUGUGAUAGAAAGAAUAAAUUACUUAAGGGAUAACAGCGUAAAAAUUUUUUAGAGUACUUAUCGAUAAAAUUAAUUGCGACCUCGAUGUUGAAUUAAGAUUAUUUUUAAAUGUAGAAGUUUAAAAAUUUGGUCUGUUCGACCAUUUAUUCUUA